rnacentral:rRNA from 1 species
UACCUACGGGAGGCAGCAGUAGGGAAUUUUCGUCAAUGGGCGCAAGCCUGAACGAGCAAUGCCGCGUGAGUGAGGAAGGUCUUCGGAUCGUAAAGCUCUGUUGCAGGUCAGAAAAGAAGGGAAGAGGAAAUGCUUUUCUUUUGAUAGUAACCUGCCAGAAAGUCACGGCUAACUACGUGCCAGCAGCCGCGGUAAUACGGAGAAUGCGAGCGUUAUCCGGAUUUAUUGGGUUUAAAGGGUGCGUAGGCGGUUUGUCAAGUCAGCGGUAAAAAUUCCGGGCUCAACCCGGCCCCGCCGUUGAAACG